CAGCCCAAAUCCACAGUCUUCCAACUGAGAUCACACACCUGGUUUCAAGACUUAAUGAAACUCAGGUUCUUGAUGUCUCAUCACAGACAGAAUUAAGUGACAAAGUGAUAGGUAAGAAGUGGAUUUAUUUAGAG